rnacentral:lncRNA from 1 species
UGUUGGGGUGCCUCCAGGACCAGGGUUGGGAACCACUGCACUAGACCAUCCAUUGCUGUCAAAUGACAUGCCUUGCGUCACAGAAAAUGCAUGUUGCAUGCCUGCAGCAUCCAGGAGCUAUCAGUAUGCAUCUCUUGAACUCGUCAUGGUGUGAGGAGAUGCCAGGGUCAAGACCCUGCUGUGUAAAUAUUGGUUAUGGUUCUCUUGUGCCUCCUUUUUUGCCAGUCUUGCUCCUUGUUGUAGACUUUAAUCCAUUGAAGAAGAGGAGCAGGAGGAAGACAUUCUUCCUCCCUACCUUGUCUAAAAAAUGCUGCUAUAGUGCGUAGAAAAUUAUGGGCACUUGUACAAUGCAAUCAGCAAGGGCUUUUCUUUGACAGAAUGCCAGCGAAAGAGGGAGAG